AACGAACGCUGGCGGCAGGCCUAACACAUGCAAGUCGAACGCUCCAGCAAUGGAGAGUGGCAGACGGGUGAGUCACGCGUGGGAAUCUUCCCAGUGGUACGGAAUAGCUCAGGUAAACUUGAGGUAAUACUGUAUACGCACGGAAGAGGAACGAAUUAGCGCCAUUGGAUGGGCCCGCAUGUGAUUAGCUAGUUGGUGGGGGAACGGCGCACCAAGGCGACGAUCCGUAGCUGGUCUGAGAGGAUGAUCAGGCACACUGGGACUGAUACACGGACCAGACUCGUACGGUAGGCAGCAGUGGGGAAUAUUGGACAAUGGGCGCAAGCCUGAUCCAGCCAUGCCGCGUGAGUGACGAAGGCCUUAGGGUUGUAAAGCUCUUUUGGCGGGGACGAUAAUGACGGUACCCGCAGAAUAAGCCCCGGCUAACUUCGUGCCAGCCGCCGCCGUAAAAC
rnacentral:rRNA from 1 species